AUUGAACGCUGGCGGCAGGCCUAAUACAUGCAAGUCGAACGAGUGGCGGACGGGUGAGUAAUGUCUGGGACACUGCCUGAUGGAGGGGGAUAACUACUGGAAACGGUAGCUAAUACCGCAUACCAUCAGAUGUGCCCAGAUGGGAUUAGCUAGUUGGUGGGGUAAAGGCUAACAAAGGCGACGAUCCCUAGCUGAUCUGAGAGGAUGACCGGCCACACUGGAACUGAGACACGGUCCAGACUCCUACGGGAGGCAGCAGUGGGGAAUAUUGCACAAUGGGCGCAAGCCUGAUGCAGCCAUGCCGCGUGUAUGAAGAAGGUCUUCGGGUCGUAAAGUACUGUCAGCAGGGAGGCGUUACCCACAGAGGAAGCACCGGCUAACUCCGUGCCAGCAGCCGCGGUAAUAC
rnacentral:rRNA from 1 species